GACGAACGCUGGCGGCGUGCUUAACACAUGCAAGUCGAACGGAAAGGCCCUGCUUUUGUGGGGUGCUCGAGUGGCGAACGGGUGAGUAACACGUGAGUAACCUGCCCUUGACUUUGGGAUAACUUCAGGAAACUGGGGCUAAUACCGGAUAGGAGCUCCUGCUGCAUGGUGGGGGUUGGAAAGUUUCGGCGGUUGGGGAUGGACUCGCGGCUUAUCAGCUUGUUGGUGGGGUAGUGGCUUACCAAGGCUUUGACGGGUAGCCGGCCUGAGAGGGUGACCGGCGACAUUGGGACUGAGAGACGGCCCAGACUCGUACGGGAGGCAGCAGUGGGGAAUAUUGCACAAUGGGCGGAAGCCUGAUGCAGCAACGCCGCGUGCGGGAUGACGGCCUUCGGGGUGUAAACCGCUGUCGCCUGUGACGAAGCGUGAGUGACGGUAAUGGGUAAAGAAGCACCGGCUAACUACGUG
rnacentral:rRNA from 1 species